rnacentral:rRNA from 1 species
UACGAAGGGGGCUAGCGUUGCUCGGAAUCACUGGGCGUAAAGGGUGCGUAGGCGGGUCUUUAAGUCAGGGGUGAAAUCCUGGAGCUCAACUCCAGAACUGCCUUUGAUACUGAAGAUCUUGAGUUCGGGAGAGGUGAGUGGAACUGCGAGUGUAGAGGUGAAAUUCGUAGAUAUUCGCAAAGAACACCAGUGGCGAAGGCGGCUCACUGGCCCCGAUACUGACGCUGAGGCACGAAAGCGUGGGGAGCAAACAGGG